GAUGAACGCUGGCGGCGUGCCUAAUACAUGCAAGUCGAGCGAACAGACGAGGAGCUUGCUCCUCUGACGUUAGCGGCGGACGGGUGAGUAACACGUGGAUAACCUACCUAUAAGACUGGGAUAACUUCGGGAAACCGGAGCUAAUACCGGAUAAUAUAUUGAACCGCAUGGCUCAAUAGUGAAAGACGGUUUUGCUGUCACUUAUAGAUGGAUCCGCGCCGCAUUAGCUAGUUGGUAAGGUAACGGCUUACCAAGGCAACGAUGCGUAGCCGACCUAAGAGGGUGAUCGGCCACACUGGAACUGAGACACGGUCCAGACUCCUACGGGAGGCAGCAGUAGGGAAUCUUCCGCAAUGGGCGAAAGCCUGACGGAGCAACGCCGCGUGAGUGAUGAAGGUCUUCGGAUCGUAAAACUCUGUUAUUAGGGAAGAACAAAUGUGUAAGUAACUAUGCACGUCUUGACGGUACCUAAUCAGAAAGCCACGGCUAACUACGCG
rnacentral:rRNA from 1 species